UCAGCAUGGAGCGCCGGCCGCAGUGCACCGGCCGCGGUGGCCAUUGGAGGGUGAACCAACAGCAAAGGAAGACCUUUCUCUCUGUCUCUCUCUCACUGUCCACUCUGCCUGUCAAAAAAAAAAAAAAAGUAUAAUGUUUAGUACUUUGAAAAACAGCACCAAACCAGCAUUUUUGUGGAGUUGGUGACUUCCUGCUAUAUGUGGACAUCUCAGAGUGUGGUCCUGGGCUUUGUGCAUCGUGGCCACUUAGAAGGAGCCUUAACAUGCAGUUUCCAGGGUCUCUCCAGACUCACUGCAUCAGAAUGCCUAUGGGUGGGGCAGCUUCUGUUACAUAAGGAUGAGAAUUCUUGGAGCGGGAUAUUCUAUUAAACCAUGUUUCCAUUUUUAACCAUUCUCAGAUAUCUUUGUUCACAUUAAGUUUGAGAAUCCUUGUUCAGUAUUUACUCGACUAUCAUGUUUUCCUUCUGACUAUGGUAAAAUUAAAAUUGUCCCACUAACGUGUGACAAUAGCAGUUUCUGCAGUAUGAAGCAUGAUUAUUUCAAGGUCAUGUAGUGAGAACAUUUAUGCUGGAAGGGAGGAACUUUCUCAGGAAUAAUGCACACAGUUUACAAGAAAAAUAAUGCAAAUGUAUAAAGACAAAAGCAAGAAGAUACCCAUAGAGUCUGAUAACAGCACAGAAUUCACUUAUGGAAAUGCAAGAGGACCCCCAUGGAAGGCGAAGGCCACUAAGGGGUAUUGCUGUAACAGAAGCAUGAAAAUAUCUUUAAUGGUUGAGCCCUCCCUGGAGGACAAAAAUCACUUUCUCCAGCACUGAAAGCCCUCACUUUGUCACUCACCACACCUGCCACAAAGGAUGGAUCUGUUCCUGGUGAAAGGGCCAAUAUGUGGUGGAAUGGCAGGCAGAGGAAGCAGAGAAGAGAGCCAAAGAAACGUCCAGGCACCAAGGCAGCACCCACGGACAACUCUCCAGAUAAGAAAGCUGUCUGCUUAGACCCUGCUUUCUUAAGCAGAGAAGAGAGGGCUAUAUAGCAGAGCAGGUGUGGUGAGGUCAGGAGCAUGGGCUCCAUAACCAGACCUCUCUCAAAUCCCACCUUGAACCACUGCCAGCUGCAUGGUCUCCAGUAAGAUACCUGACCGUUAAGAGGCCCAGUUUUCUCAAGUGUAAAUAGGAGGGAACUAUUAGGACCUAUGUUGAUGGGAGUUAUGAGAAUUAAAUACCUUAAUAUUUGUAAAGUGUUUAGAACAGUGUACAGGUUUGGUAAAUAAAUGAGAAAAUAGAAAUGAGUUUACUUUGCUUGCUGCCAUUUUACCCUUUUAAUUGCUCCCCAAAAGAGGAAAGAAAUGCUGUACUUUCUUGAUCUCGUUGCAUAUCUUGAACAAUCAGAACAGACGUCAUUAUCUCAAGUUUACAGAAGAGGAAACUGAGUAAACUGGAGUUUAAGUCGCUUCCUCCAGGAUACCACGAUUUGCAUCCACGUCCCCAGUGUUCCCAAAGCUGGUGUGCUAUUUGUCUGUCUGUCUGUCUGUCUGUUCUCCCAUUGCACAGCCUGACACCUAGAAGCUGUAAUAGAAAGUAAAGUACUGAAGUGGAUGUAAAACCAAGACAUAAAAAUGAAGCAGGUGUAAACAAAUGCUGCACAGUCAAAGGCAAGUGUGGAUAGAUGCUUUCAUGUGUGCCGUCACCGUCACAGUCAGUAUACUCCAUGGAAUAACAAAGCCAGCCUGUUUAUCACAACUGAUUCCUAAUGAAGACAGGAAGAAGAAAUCCAGGGAGGAACAAGGCUGGAAUUCACUUGACUGGCAAUGAUGAGUCAUUUACUACAAGCAAAGGGGAAAGCAGAACCAGAAAAGGCAUCAGAGAUGCAGGAACGUCCAGCUUCCCAAAUAAACUGUCAGUCAACAUUUAAUUGUUGGCUGCAGGGAAAACAGCUGUCACUAUCAGUACUAAGGUAACCAAUGCCAUUUUAAAGGAUGUUUUGCUACCUAGAAAUGCCAAGACUCAUGGUGUUACUGCUACUAUUUAUAAAGAAUGCAAGGAUUAAUUAUCUGCAAGUAAUGCCAUCUCAUUACUUCCAGCAUUCUGUAGUGGAAAAUACACCCUGUUAUUUCAUAAACAGAUAAAUGUGCAAUGAAGUCUAAUUUAAUUAGGUAAAACUGCAAAAGAAUGAGAUAGUUUUUUCCUAAUAAUUUAAGUUACCUAAACAACAAGUAUAGAUCUACUAUAUUUAUGCAGAUUUAAUAGAAAAAUGACAAAAAAAAAAACAGGGAUAGCAAACAUUCUGAGUUUUUGGUUAAGGGAGUGUUGCCAUUUCUUUCCAUUUCUUUAUUUUAUUUUUUUUAUUUGAAAGGCAGAGAGAGAGAGAGAGAGGGAGAGACCGAGCAAGCACACAUUUCUGGCUGCUGGUUCAUCCCCAAAUACCUGAAAUAUCCAGAGCUGAGCAAGGUCUAAAACCAAGAGUUGGGAACACAAUCCAGGUUUCUUAUGUGGGUGGUAGGAACCCAGUUGCUUAAGCCAUGAUCCCUGCCUCCUGGGGUCUCUAUUGACCUGAAGCUGGAAUCAGUGCUGGAGCCAGGAAUCAAACCUAGGUACU